AAAGAGUUUGAUUCUUGCUUUAGUUUCUGUUUUAUAAUUAUAAAAUACAUGAAAGUAUUGGCGUGAAAGAGGAAUAUAAGGUUUAAUAUCUUGUAUUUGAAUUGUAUAUUGAAUCUCAGUAUGAAAUAUUAAAAUUGGGUGGGAGCUUGAUUUGGUAAAUUAUAAAAAAUCUGAUUAAACUUUGUGCCAGCAGUCGCGGUUAGACUUGGGGGUUAAGUAGAAAAUUUUUAGUUAGGGUUACUAAGGUUGGAGGUAAAUUAAGAUUAGUAGUAAUAAAGGGUGGAAUCGAUUUAUUGGGAAGUAAAUUGAGAUUUACUAAAGGAUAGAAGGAGACCUGAAAGGUUAAGGAAUGAACUAGGAUUAGAUACCCUAUUACACUUAAGGGAAAUAUUUAUAAGGCUUGAAUAUUAAAAGUUAUAGGCUUAAAAUUCAAAGAAUUUGGCGGUAUUUUAGUCUAGUUAGAGGAACCUGUUUUAUAAAUGAUACAACACGUAAAAUCUUACUAGUUUUUGUUAAACAGCUUGUAUACCGUCAUUAUUAGAUAACUUUUAUAGAAAAAGUUAUCGAAAGUAUAAAUUUAAGUAUAUUAGAUCAAGGUGCAGCUAAUGAAUUAGUAAAAAUGGGUUACAAUAAGAUUAAUUAUUACGAAUUAGAAUUUGAAUAAAUUUUAUGAAGGGGGAUUUAAUUGUAAUUAUAUUUUAAUAAGUUAUAGUGAUAUAAGUACUAAAUUAUGUACAUAUUGCCCGUCGCUUCCAUUUAAGGUGGAAUAAGUCGUAACAUAGUAGGUAUACUGGAAAGUGUACCUAGAAAUAU
rnacentral:ncRNA from 1 species